GCCCUCUUGGCUUAGUGGUAAAGCGUAUCACUAGUAUGACUUUCGAGUCAGCAAAUGAUAAGAUCGCUAGUUCGAUUCUGGCAGAGGGCA
rnacentral:tRNA from 1 species